AUGGAGGUGACGUUCGAGACGACGCAGGGCCGCCGAUUCAUCGUCGAGAUUUGGUACUUCUCCACCGUGCGGAGGAUCAAGGAGUGCAUCCUGAAGCAGGAGGGCAUCCCCGUGGAGUCCCAGCGGCUCUUCUUCCAGGGCAAGGAGCUCGAGGACGACCACGACACGGAGCACUACCCCAUCGUGGAGGGAUCCCACGUGCUCAUCGUCCUGCCGGAUGGCUCUCCCGCCGCCGCCGUCGCCGCCACCGGCGCCCCAGGCGCCGUCGUCCAUGUCGUUGCCUCCGGGCCGGCCCUUGGCCAGGGCCGCAGCGUUGCGCUCGAACUGGACGCGUCCUGCACGGUCGCCCGACUGAAGGAGAUGCUCCAGGAGAGCACGGAUGGGGCGCUGCCUGCCGCCAAGGUGAGCGUGUUCAUGGACAAGGCCGAGAUGGAGGAUGACAAGGCGCUGGCGGAGUUCGACCCGCCGGCCGAUGGGACGAAGAUAGAGGUGCGCGUGGUCGUGCGCCAGCCGCCGGCGUCGUCGCCAGCGAGCAACAACGGGAACGGGGCGGCCAAGGUUAAUAACAAGCUGCAGCAGCGGAUGUCGGUGGAGGUGAAGUGGGGCGCCAAGACCGCGACGCUGGAGGUGAGCGACAUGGACGCCGUGAAGGAGCUGCGGGCGGAGCUGGGCAGCGCGGCGCCGCACCUCCUCCUGCCCAACGACGGCGCCUACUUCUUCAUCUACAAGCAGAACGUCAUGGAGGAGGAGCGCACGCUGCGCUGGCACGACGUCAAGAACGGCGACACCAUCGAGAUCUUCAACGGCAGGGUCACCGGAGGCGCUUGA
rnacentral:rRNA from 1 species